rnacentral:rRNA from 1 species
AUUGAACGCUGGCGGCAGGCCUAACACAUGCAAGUCGAGCGGAUGAAGGGAGCUUGCUCCUGGAUUCAGCGGCGGACGGGUGAGUAAUGCCUAGGAAUCUGCCUGGUAGUGGGGGAUAACGUCCGGAAACGGGCGCUAAUACCGCAUACGUCCUGAGGGAGAAAGUGGGGGAUCUUCGGACCUCACGCUAUCAGAUGAGCCUAGGUUGGAUUAGCUAGUUGGUGGGGUAAAGGCCUACCAAGGCGACGAUCCGUAACUGGUCUGAGAGGAUGAUCAGUCACACUGGAACUGAGACACGGUCCAGACUCCUACGGGAGGCAGCAGUGGGGAAUAUUGGACAAUGGGCGAAAGCCUGAUCCAGCCAUGCCGCGUGUGUGAAGAAGGUCUUCGGAUUGUAAAGCACUUUAAGUUGGGAGGAAGGGCAGUAAGUUAAUACCUUGCUGUUUUGACGUUACCAACAGAAUAAGCACCGGCUAACUUCGUG